rnacentral:lncRNA from 1 species
CGACGGCCGAGGUGGCCGUUGGCGCACGUGGGGCAUUUCGCUUGGAAAGGCUCAGCAGCCUGUGUGGCGUCUGCGGUGGCAGCCUCCAUUAGAGGAAAUGUCUCUUCUCCCAGUCAGGAGUUAACCACCUGCUGUAACUUCCUCUUUAGCAUCGCCAGAGGAAACUAAGUAUGACUGUGCCUUCACUCUGCAGAAAGAAAAUGAGUGGCAAAGGAGUUGCGAAGGGAUUCCUGAGCCUUUAUGCCAGCUGGAAGCUUAAGGCCUUGGUAUUUGAGACUUCACCCUUCAAAAUGUCUUGGAGGAUGGCCCAGCAACCAGCCAAAUGGCCCAAUGGCCUAGCCCAGUGGAGACGGUCUCAGCUUUUGACAAGCUAGCCGGAGAAAGGGCUGGACAGGAAGGGGCCCACUGGACAGCGAAUAUUGAUAGGGCCCCUGGGAGGAUCAAUUUUCCCCUCCAACAGUGCCUGGCUCCCAUUAUCAGAUUAGAUGCAAAGUGGGCUGGCAUGCCAGGGGGUGACAGGAACAGUGUCUCCAGAAAUCCUCUGUGAAGACACCCAAGUAUUGUUCAGAAGUGGCCCUGUAUCUGGAAGAGGGAAAACUGCACCCACUUCUUGCAGACAUACAGUUCCAGCUCCCCCCACAGGACUUGCUCAUACAUCCAACAAAUAUUUAAUCAGUGCCCACCAUCUGCCACUGUGCCAGGUGCCCGGCCUCAUCAUGAGUCAGGCAGAGGUGGUCUGUGCAGUUUUCCCACAAUGUGAGAGGGUGCUGAGAAGACUUUUAACGCUUAUUUAACUACGGAAAUAACUCUUGGUUUGGUACCUACUACAAAAUAAAAACAAGCGCUUGUUGAUAAUUUCUGGAUGGAUGACUGUGGAAAGCUGGAGGAGACUGAGGAUCAAUUUGCUCUAAUGAACCUUCCCUUGACUAUCAUCUCCGUUACCUCCUGCCGCAUCCCUACGGCAAAUAUGCAAGACUCUCACGCAGCUAAUUUCCAGGGGUUUGCAGUCUGGGGAGGAAGCAGAAAGCACAUCCCUCACUGACCCUGAGGAGGGGCAAAUCUCUGGUAGCAGUCACAGGUACGUGCUGUACACACUUCCCAUCCUUUGAGCCUUCCCAGCUGGAGAGCACCAAGAGAACGCAGUUGGGGAGGCCCCGAAAGAUGAAGGGUUGUUGAGCUUGAAGGCAGUGAAAAAGUAAAUGGAAGAAAGCUCUCUGCCCUCCACUGCCUAAAUGCAGGAUAUAGAUUUAGAAGGAUAAAAGGGGUCUGCUCCCUCUCUCGACCAGGGAAAAGUUAACCACUGAAGACAACUUUAGACUCUUAUGGGCCUGGAGCUGGAACCAGAGGAAUGGACAUGAAGGCGCUUUACUAACUCUAUUUAUCUGCCAGUUACUUACCUUUCUACAAGUUCUCCCCUUAGACACUCAAAGUUCUUUUCCUUUGUCCUGUCGCUUCCCUAAAACUUGGCUUUUCUUUGUUGAAGAUGCUAUACAAGCUGGAAUUCAAAGCUACCACUUUGAGAACUACUCAAUUCCUGCGUGUCUCCCAGGCAGAUGUGAAAUACACAUGUUAAUAAACUUCCACUGGUUUUUCUCUUGUUAA